GCUCGUGUAGCUCAGUUGGCAGAGCACUUGCCUGUGAGGCAAGUCGGCUGGUCCCGGCGGAGGUUCGAGUCCUCCCUCGGGCA